AGUAACAGUUGAGUGAAAAAUCAUAACAAAAUUGACAAAAUUGGUGAAAAUCCCAUUGAAACAUUACGCAGCUUUCCUUCCAAAUAAUACGACAGCUUUCAACUCGUAAAACUGAGGCAAUAAAAUGUUUUGACGGACAGUGUGUCGAUAUGAAAGAGACAAGCGCAGAUCACAAGAAAGGAACGUAACAGUUAGUCAAGAAAGAGACAGUCCGAGAGCAUGAGAAAGAGACAGUAAUCUACUGCGCACACACGUUUCAGUGAUAACCAAAUUUGAGAAGUAGCGGCCAAGAGACGUUUAUGACUAAGUGGCCUGCAUGUGUGCAAAUGUGCAAUAUAAACUUUUAUGCCAUA
rnacentral:sRNA from 1 species